GGUGGCUCAGUGGCAAGAGUGCUUGCUUUGCAAGCAUGAAGCCCUGGGAUCAAUUCCUCAGCACCA
rnacentral:tRNA from 1 species